rnacentral:rRNA from 1 species
UACGGAGGGUGCGAGCGUUAAUCGGAAUUACUGGGCGUAAAGGGCGCGUAGGCGGCUGAUCAAGUCAGGUGUGAAAGCCCAUGGCUCAACCAUGGACGUGCAUUUGAAACUGGUCGGCUUGAGUAUCGGAGAGGAAAGUGGAAUUCCCGGUGUAGAGGUGAAAUUCGUAGAUAUCGGGAGGAAUACCGGUGGCGAAGGCGACUUUCUGGACGAAUACUGACGCUGAGGCGCGAAAGCGUGGGGAGCAAACAGGAUUAGAAACCCGGU